GAUGAACGCUGGCGGCGUGCCUAAUACAUGCAAGUCGAGCGAACAGACGAGGAGCUUGCUCCUCUGACGUUAGCGGCGGACGGGUGAGUAACACGUGGAUAACCUACCUAUAAGACUGGGAUAACUUCGGGAAACCGUAGCUAAUACCGGAUAAUAUAUUGAACCGCAUGGUUCAAUAGUGAAAGACGGUUUUGCUGUCACUUAUAGAUGGAUCCGCGCCGCAUUAGCUAGUUGGUAAGGUAACGGCUUACCAAGGCAACGAUGCAUAGCCGACCUGAGAGGGUGAUCGGCCACACUGGAACUGAGACACGGUCCAGACUCCUACGGGAGGCAGCAGUAGGGAAUCUUCCGCAAUGGGCGAAAGCCUGACGGAGCAACGCCGCGUGAGUGAUGAAGGUCUUCGGAUCGUAAAACUCUGUUAUUCGGGAAGAACAAAUGUGUAAGUAACUAUGCACGUCUUGACGGUACCUAAUCAGAAAGCCACGGCUAACUACGUG
rnacentral:rRNA from 1 species